UAAUGACAGACAGUCAGUGAGUGUGUGUGUGUGUGUCCAACUCUUCCUCACAGGUUAGUUAAUGACAGACAGUCAGUGAGUGUGUCUGUGUCCAACUCUUCCUCACAGGUUAGUUAAUGACAGACAGUCAGUGAGUGUGUCUGUGUCCAACUCUUCCUCACAGGUUAGUUAAUGACAGACAGUCAGUGAGUGUGUGUGUGUGUGUCCAACUCUUCCUCACAGGUUAGUUAAUGACAGACAGUCAGUGAGUGUGUCUGUGUCCAACUCUUCCUCACAGGUUAGUUAAUGACAGACAGUCAGUGAGUGUGUGUGUGUCCAACUCUUCCUCACAGGUUAGUUAAUGACAGACAGUCAGUGAGUGUGUCUGUGUCCAACUCUUCCUCACAGGUUAGUUAAUGACAGACAGUCAGUGAGUGUGUCUGUGUCCAACUCUUCCUCACAGGUUAGUUAAUGACAGACAGUCAGUGAGUGUGUCUGUGUCCAACUCUUCCUCACAGGUUAGUUAAUGACAGACAGUCAGUGAGUGUGUCUGUGUCCAACUCUUCCUCACAGGUUAGUUAAUGACAGACAGUCAGUGAGUGUGUCUGUGUCCAACUCUUCCUCACAGGUUAGUUAAUGACAGACAGUCAGUGAGUGUGUGUGUGUCCAACUCUUCCUCACAGGUUAGUUAAUGACAGACAGUCAGUGAGUGUGUCUGUGUCCAACUCUUCCUCACAGGUUAGUUAAUGACAGACAGUCAGUGAGUGUGUCUGUGUCCAACUCUUCCUCACAGGUUAGUUAAUGACAGACAGUCAGUGAGUGUGUCUGUGUCCAACUCUUCCUCACAGGUUAGUUAAUGACAGACAGACAGUCAGUGAGUGUGUCUGUGUCCAACUCUUCCUCACAGGUUAGUUAAUGAUGUUACUGAGUCAAUGUGAGCAGAUUGUGUCUGUAGACUGAAGAGAAUCAGAGUCUCACUGAUGGUGGAAAUAAAGGUUUUACUUCCUUAAAA